rnacentral:rRNA from 1 species
CUUUAUUGGAGAGUUUGAUCCUGGCUCAGGACGAACGCUGGCGGCAUGCCUAAUACAUGCAAGUCGAGCGGACUUGAUGAGAAGCUUGCUUCUCUGAUAGUUAGCGGCGGACGGGUGAGUAACACGUAGGCAACCUGCCCUCAAGCUUGGGACAACUACCGGAAACGGUAGCUAAUACCGAAUAGUUGUUUUCUUCUCCUGAAGAGAACUGGAAAGACGGAGCAAUCUGUCACUUGGGGAUGGGCCUGCGGCGCAUUAGCUAGUUGGUGGGGUAACGGCUCACCAAGGCGACGAUGCGUAG